AGUUAUACAUAGUAUAUCCCUUUGCCAAUCAGUGACCUUGAUUCUUGGUUGAAGACACCCUCCAUAUAUGUUUUUGAUUGCUCUGCGGUUGGGGGAAUAUUGUGAAUGCUUUUAUUGAGCUUCAUGAUUGGGUUGCUUCUAGCUCCUCUAGAUCCACAAGGGAUUGCAUUCUACUUGGAGCUUGUGAAACACAUGAGACUCUUCCACAAAGUGCUGAAUUUCCUGCAGAUGUGUUUACGUCUUGUCUCACAACACCUAUUAAGAUGGCUUUGAGAUGGAUCUUGCAGGCAAAGGACACCAAGUGAAUUAGAUAGAGAGGUUAAGAACUUGAGGGUGGCAUUUACUGACCUGUUUUUGAAGCAUAACACUUUCAAAGAAACUGCAAAGCCAUCGAGAUAUUGAUGCAAAGAAUGGAAGAAUGUAUUUCACUAAUUUUUGUA